GGUGACAGAGCGAGACUCUGUCUCAAAAAAAAAAAGAAAAAAAAAAAGGAAAUGCCCAGUCACUGGGUUUCUGGAACUUUGUGGAAUAAAACGCUAGGUAUAUUCACUCUCUACCUCUUCACUAAGUGGCUCUUUAGGUUGUUGGUUGACUUAGUGCCUCGUCAGGGGCCAGUGAAAGGGAAGGAGGUGAGGGCGCCCUGACCUGGGAAGGGGUAGGACCCCAUGUUUAGGGAAGGGUUCUAGCAGUAACUCUGCCACGGGCACUUCCUUUUCUAGGCCUCAAUCUUCCCAGCCCUAAAACAGGGGUCUGGAGAGUAUCAGCACAUUCCCAUCACAGGCAGAUUCCCCGGGCCGGGAAAGUUUCUGGAGAAGGCUUUUGCAAUAAACCUCUAAGCUGCUUUUCUAA
rnacentral:lncRNA from 1 species